rnacentral:rRNA from 1 species
UACGGAGGGUGCGAGCGUUGUCCGGAAUCAUUGGGCGUAAAGGGCGCGUAGGUGGCGGGACAAGCGUGCGGUGAAAGCUCGGGGCUCAACCCCGAGUCGGCCGUGCGAACUGUCUUGCUUGAGCACUGUAGAGGCAGGCGGAAUUCCGGGUGUAGCGGUGGAAUGCGUAGAGAUCCGGAAGAACACCGGUGGCGAAGGCGGCCUGCUGGGCAGUUGCUGACACUGAGGCGCGACAGCGUGGGGAGCAAACAGGG